UUCAUUUCCACGCACGCCCCUGUUCCCAGUGGUAGCUGUUCCCAAUCAAACGCUUUCCUUGGCUGGCUGGAGGGCACAGGAAAAGCUACUGCUGGCUGCUACCCUGAGAAGGAAAAUCCCAUGUGUCCAGCAUCAGCAGAGGAGGGAAAAAAAUCAGUGACCUGGAGCGCCCCUUCCUGAGAUUCCAGACUGCCUGGAAGUCACCAAGUGGACCAGACUGGCCUUGAUCGCCCAGAGAGCGGGCUGCCCUGGGCUCCCGUGGGCUGAGAUUAAAGGCACAUGCCACCACUCCCGGCGUGCUUUCACUUUUCUUUAAAGACUGUAUACUGAUUCAUGUAUAAUAAUGACGAUCAAAUCAGGUUGCUCUCCUUCCCUACUGUAUAUAGUAGCUUUCCCAUUUAUGACCUUGUGCUUUUCAGACACGCUUUUGGUAGAAAUACUUUAUCUGCUCCUAAAA